AGGGAAUCUUCCACAAUGGACGGAAGUCUGAUGGAGCAACGCCGCGUGAGUGAUGAAGGUUUUCGGAUCGUAAAACUCUGUUGUAAGGGAAGAACCAGUACGUCAGGCAAUGGACGUACCUUGACGGUACCUUAUUAGAAAGCCACGGCUAACUACGUGCCAGCAGCCGCGGUAAUACGUAGGUGGCAAGCGUUGUCCGGAUUUAUUGGGCGUAAAGCGAGCGCAGGCGGUUUCUUAAGUCUGAUGUGAAAGCCCCCGGCUCAACCGGGGAGGGUCAUUGGAAACUGGGAGACUUGAGUGCAGAAGAGGAGAGUGGAAUUCCAUGUGUAGCGGUGAAAUGCGUAGAUAUAUGGAGGAACACCAGUGGCGAAGGCGGCUCUCUGGUCUGUAACUGACGCUGAGGCUCGAAAGCGUGGGGAGCAAACA
rnacentral:rRNA from 1 species